rnacentral:rRNA from 1 species
UACGAAGGGGGCUAGCGUUGCUCGGAAUCACUGGGCGUAAAGGGUGCGUAGGCGGGUCUUUAAGUCAGAGGUGAAAUCCUGGAGCUCAACUCCAGAACUGCCUUUGAUACUGAGGAUCUUGAGUACGGGAGAGGUGAGUGGAACUGCGAGUGUAGAGGUGAAAUUCGUAGAUAUUCGCAAGGACACCAGUGGCGAAGGCGGCUCACUGGCCCGUUACUGACGCUGAGGCACGAAAGCGUGGGGAGCAAACAGG